AGUUACACUCUGUUGAUUCAAAAGAAGGUUGUUUGUCCAAGCUUGUCCAAGUCAGUUUCAAGAGGCUCAGCCACCAAAAGUUUCAUCAAAGAGGAAGCCAAGGUCAUCAGUAAAGCCUCACGAGAGCUACCUGGAACGGGCAGGAAAGAAAAAUGCAGAUAAGAAAAUUAAAACCACAGACUCCUGGGCAGCGAACAAGAGCCUUCUGAUCCUAAUUCGAUCUGGAGUUAAGAAUGAAGGGGAUUUCUGUAGCAGUUUCUUUUGCAUAGCAGAGCUCCGACUUUUCCAGCAACAGCGUGUCCCUGGAAGCUACACAAAGUCCUCUUUGAUUGCCUGUGAUCAAAGCCACGAAGGCUCUCCUGCAACAUCUUAGCUUCAGAAAGCCAGGAAAAUCAGAAUGCUGAGAGUAUAUUAAUAAUUCCUAAACAUAUUUUUAAGGUUCUUCAGGCCUGUCUCAGAGCUAUGGAGGAUGCAGCAAAAGGGAUGCCUUUGAUCUGCUGUCUCUGGAUGCACAAGGAGCUCAGAGAAACAACCAGGACACAGAACAAAACAAAGCAUGGAGCUCUAAUUUAGGGGUUUCAGCUAAGCGAGUCACUCAGCACCAGCACUGCACAGGAGUUCUUACAGCUUCCUUUAUGAGAAAGAUUUGUUCUUCUGUUUAUAGGGUAUCAGAGCCAGGAGGGUGGCUGACUCUGAUGAUAGAACAAGAGCCAAAUAUGCUCCUGAUGCUCCAGUAGAGUGGUCUUCAGGUGAUCGAGAUUCCGAGC
rnacentral:lncRNA from 1 species